GAGAAGCUUGCUUCUCUGAUGUUAGCGGCGGACGGGUGAGUAACACGUGGAUAACCUACCUAUAAGACUGGGAUAACUUCGGGAAACCGGAGCUAAUACCGGAUAAUAUUUUGAACCGCAUGGUUCAAAAGUGAAAGACGGUCUUGCUGUCACUUAUAGAUGGAUCCGCGCUGCAUUAGCUAGUUGGUAAGGUAACGGCUUACCAAGGCAACGAUGCAUAGCCGACCUGAGAGGGUGAUCGGCCACACUGGAACUGAGACACGGUCCAGACUCCUACGGGAGGCAGCAGUAGGGAAUCUUCCGCAAUGGGCGAAAGCCUGACGGAGCAACGCCGCGUGAGUGAUGAAGGUCUUCGGAUCGUAAAACUCUGUUAUUAGGGAAGAACAUAUGUGUAAGUAACUGUGCACAUCUUGACGGUACCUAAUCAGAAAGCCACGGCUAACUACGUGCCAGCAGCCGCGGUAAUACGUAGGUGGCAAGCGUUAUCCGGAAUUAUUGGGCGUAAAGCGCGCGUAGGCGGUUUUUUAAGUCUGAUGUGAAAGCCCACGGCUCAACCGUGGAGGGUCAUUGGAAACUGGAAAACUUGGGUGCAGAAGAGGAAAGUGGAAUUCCAUGUGUAGCGGUGAAAUGCGCAGAGGUAUGGAGGAACACCAGUGGCGAAGGCGACUUUCUGGUCUGUAACUGACGCUGAUGUGCGAAAGCGUGGGGAUCAAACAGGAUUAGA
rnacentral:rRNA from 1 species